GACCGCAAUUAUAGGCAUAAUUCGUUUUCUGCUGAAUGUAUAGAAUGUAGUUGCAGAUUAAAUAAUUACAUGGUUCUGCUCGAUUCAGGAAGGAUUUCAUGUCUGCAGAUAAUGUAUUACAAGAGGCUGUUGUGUGCCAGUGGACAAGCUGGUGAGAAGCUGAACACUAAUAGCUUGAAUCCUGGUGAAUGGACUGCCUGCAUAAGCGUCGUCAUGAUUUUUCCACGUGUAAUAUGAAUGCAAGCCAGUUUGCCUUAAAGCAUCCCUUCUUGGAAAAUAUCUUCUAGUGUUUCAUCACAAAAAUCAGUCAAAAACUGUUUCUCAUGAUUUGAAAAAUACGUAUAAAGGAAGUCAAAUUUAAUUGAUAAAUUGUGCAUGCUGAGAUUGUAUACUAUAUCAUAUACAUUUUUUAAUAUAUUUUCUGUAUCUCUAAUGUUGAGAAUUUUGAUGUUUUAAUUUAACCCUGAAUAAAAUGUUAAGUACUAUAAGCAAAGUAAGCAGUAUUGUAUUUGAUGUCAGAACAAUAUUUUUUUUAUUUUUUAUUUUUAUAUACUUGUAUAUUUUUGCUUAUGAUUGGAAUUUUAGUACAAAUUAUUUUGGCAUGAUGUGGCCUGUUCUCAUUUAAAAUGCAUUUUGUAUUUUUUUUUUUUUUUUUCUUCUGUUAUUUGCAUUAUAAUAGUUUGGCCAUAACAACUAUGGAUGCCAAAUCAACAUGUAUGGGAAUAACUGUAUUAAAUUUUGAGAAAACC